rnacentral:rRNA from 1 species
AACGAACGCUGGCGGCAGGCUUAACACAUGCAAGUCGAGCGGGCCCUUCGGGGUCAGCGGCGGACGGGUUAGUAACGCGUGGGAACGUGCCCUUUGCUUCGGAAUAGCCCUGGGAAACUGGGGGUAAUACCGGAUGUGCCCUGAGGGGGAAAGAUUUAUCGGCAAGGGAUCGGCCCGCGUCUGAUUAGGUAGUUGGUGAGGUAACGGCUCACCAAGCCGACGAUCGGUAGCUGGUUUGAGAGGAUGAUCAGCAACACUGGGACUGAGACACGGCCCAGACUCCUACGGGAGGCAGCAGUGGGGAAUCUUAGACAAUGGGGGCAACCCUGAUCUAGCCAUGCCGCGUGGGUGAUGAAGGCCUUAGGGUCGUAAAGCCCUUUCGCCGGGGAAGAUAAUGACGGUACCCGGUAAAGAAACCCCGGCUAACUCCGUGCCAGCCGCCGCAGUAAAAC